AAACCAUGCACCGAAGCUGCGGCAGCGACACUAUGUGUUGUUGGGUAGGGGAGCGUUCUGUAAGCCUGUGAAGGUGUGCUGUGAGGCAUGCUGGAGGUAUCAGAAGUGCGAAUGCUGACAUAAGUAACGAUAAAGCGGGUGAAAAGCCCGCUCGCCGGAAGACCAAGGGUUCCUGUCCAACGUUAAUCGGGGCAGGGUGAGUCGACCCCUAAGGCGAGGCCGAAAGGCGUAGUCGAUGGGAAACAGGUUAAUAUUCCUGUACUUGGUGUUACUGCGAAGGGGGGACGGAGAAGGCUAUGUUGGCCGGGCGACGGUUGUCCCGGUUUAAGCGUGUAGGCUGGUUUUCCAGGCAAAUCCGGAAAAUCAAGGCUGAGGCGUGAUGACGAGGCACUACGGUGCUGAAGCAACAAAUGCCCUGCUUCCAGGAAAAGCCUCUAAGCAUCAGGUAACAUUAAAUCGUACCCCAAACCGACACAGGUGGUCAGGUAGAGAAUACCAAGGCGCUUGAGAGAACUCGGG
rnacentral:rRNA from 1 species